UACGUAGGGUGCAAGCGUUAAUCGGAAUUACUGGGCGUAAAGCGUGCGCAGGCGGUGAUGUAAGACAGUUGUGAAAUCCCCGGGCUCAACCUGGGAACUGCAUCUGUGACUGCAUCGCUGGAGUACGGUAGAGGGGGGAUGGAAUUCCGCGUGUAGCAGUGAAAUGCGUAGAUAUGCGGAGGAACACCGAUGGCGAAGGCAUCCCCUGGACCUGUACUGACGCUCAUGCACGAAAGCGUGGGGAGCAACAGG
rnacentral:rRNA from 1 species